rnacentral:rRNA from 1 species
ACGGGGGGAGCAAGCGUUGUUCGGAUUUACUGGGCGUAAAGGGCGCGUAGGCGGCCAGCGCAAGUCAGUUGUGAAAUCUCCGGGCUUAACUCGGAAAGGUCAACUGAUACUGCGCGGCUAGAGUGCGGAAGGGGCAACUGGAAUUCUUGGUGUAGCGGUGAAAUGCGUAGAGAUGUGGAGGAACACCGAUGGCGAAGGCAGCCCCCUGGGUCAACACUGACGCUCAUGCACGAAAGCGUGGGGAGCAAACAGGA